UAAAAGGUAAGCUAAAAUAAGCUACCAGGUUCAUACCCUGCUCAUGAAAGUAAAGUCUUUCCCUUUUAA
rnacentral:tRNA from 1 species